AAUUCUGGACAAUGGGCUCAAGCCUGAUCCAGCCAUGCCGCGUGCGUGAAGAAGGCCUUCGUCUUGUAAAGCUCUUUCGGACGGAAAGAAAUCGCGCAGGAUAAUACCCUGCGCGUAUUACGUUACCGUCUUAAGAAUCACCGGCUACAUACGUUCCAGCAGCCGCGGUAAGACGUAGGGUGCGAGCGUUAAUCGGAAUUAGUGGGCGUAAAGCGUACGCAGGCGGUUGAUUAAGACAGGCGUGAAAUCCCCGGGCUUAACCUGGGAACUGCGCUUGUGACUGGUCAGCUAGAGUACGGCAGAGGGGGGUGGAAUUCCACGUGUAGCAGUGAAAUGCGUAGAGAUGUGGAGGAACACCGAUGGCGAAGGCAGCCCCCUGGGCCGAUACUGACGCUCAUGCACGAAAGCGUGGGUAGCAAACAGG
rnacentral:rRNA from 1 species